rnacentral:rRNA from 1 species
GUGGGGAAUCUUGCGCAAUGGGCGAAAGCCUGACGCAGCCAUGCCGCGUGAAUGAUGAAGGUCUUAGGAUUGUAAAAUUCUUUCACCGGGGACGAUAAUGACGGUACCCGGAGAAGAAGCUCCGGCUAACUUCGUGCCAGCAGCCGCGGUAAUACGAAGGGGGCUAGCGUUGCUCGGAAUUACUGGGCGUAAAGGGCGCGUAGGCGGACAGCUUAGUCAGAGGUGAAAGCCCAGGGCUCAACCUUGGAAUUGCCUUUGAUACUGGCUGUCUUGAGUUUGGGAGAGGUGAGUGGAACUCCGAGUGUAGAGGUGAAAUUCGUAGAUAUUCGGAAGAACACCAGUGGCGAAGGCGACUCACUGGCCCAAUACUGACGCUGAGGCGCGAAAGCGUGGGGAGCAAACAGGAUUAGAACCCUAGUAGUCC